UGUCAAGUUGGUGGAGGCCCUUUGUGCUU
rnacentral:piRNA from 1 species